CACAUUCUUAAAGUCUUAUUCCCACACCAUUUUCACUCUAUCGCUCUAUAUAUAUCUAUGCAUAGAGAGAGAUAUAGGUGACUGAUGUGUGAAUAUUAACACCCAAACUUAAUGUGCCAAAUACUAGAGACUCCAAACCAAAACACAUCUAUAGAAAAGACAAUAAAUGUUCAGGGUUUUUUUCGGGUUUUAUGUUUCGGUUUUUCGGGUCAGGCUGUUUGGGUUUUUUGCUGGGAAAAAGUGACCCGAUAACCGACCUAUUUUAAGUUUGGGUUGGUACUCGGAUUCGAGUUUUCAGAGGGCGGUAGGUGUUCUCGACGAUGAAGACGUUCAAUUUAGUUUAUUUCUUCAUCGUCUCUUGAUUAUGAAGAUGAUCAAUUACAGAGGCCGGUUGGUGUUUUUGAUGUAAAACGUUUUCUAAAGUUCGGUUGGAAGGGAAGGAAUAGAAAGAGAGGGUUUAAUUUUGAAUUUUAUUGUUUAAUGUUAUUAUUCUAUAAAAUAUCCAUUUUUGUA